CUACGGGAGGCAGCAGUAGGGAAUCUUCCGCAAUGGACGAAAGUCUGACGGAGCAACGCCGCGUGAGUGAUGAAGGUUUUCGGAUCGUAAAACUCUGUUGUUAGGGAAGAACAAGUACCGGAGUAACUGCCGGUACCUUGACGGUACCUAACCAGAAAGCCACGGCUAACUACGUGCCAGCAGCCGCGGUAAUACGUAGGUGGCAAGCGUUGUCCGGAAUUAUUGGGCGUAAAGCGCGCGCAGGUGGUCUCUUAAGUCUGAUGUGAAAGCCCCCGGCUCAACCGGGGAGGGUCAUUGGAAACUGGGAGACUUGAGUGCAGGAGAGAAGAGUGGAAUUCCACGUGUAGCGGUGAAAUGCGUAGAGAUGUGGAGGAACACCAGUGGCGAAGGCGACUCUUUGGCCUGUAACUGACACUGAGGCGCGAAAGCGUGGGGAGCAAACAGGAUUAGAUACCCUGGUAGUCCACGCCGUAAACGAUGAGUGCUAAGUGUUAGAGGGUUUCCGCCCUUUAGUGCUGCAGCAAACGCAUUAAGCACUCCGCCUGGGGAGUACGGCCGCAAGGCUGAAACUCAAAUGAAUUGACGGGG
rnacentral:rRNA from 1 species